CUGGGACAGGGAGAAGAGCAAAAGGAAGAAGCAAAGUGACUUCUUGCUAGAAGCCCUUCUGUGAGGAAGAGUUAGGUGCAUCAGAAUGGGAUCCAGAGAACACAGAGCAACUACAUCCAGUUAACAGGAAAUGCUGAAGAUAAGAAUAUACACCAAAAAGGGAUACAAGAGGAAUGUUGGUGCUGCAGCCCUAAUCUUUGGCUAUCGUUGUGAAAUUAUCACUGCGAAGGGGGAGACAAGUCAAGCAGAGGUGUUCAGCGAAAGGACAGCUGUGACCAC